rnacentral:lncRNA from 1 species
UCAAAUUCCUGAGGAAAUCGGUAAUCUUCUUGGUUUGGAACUGCUUAAUAUUCGAGCAAUUAAAGGCCUUACAGGUCAGAUUCCAAGUUCCAUCUUCAACAUUUCUUCUCUGAAGACCAUUAGUCUCUCCAACAAUAGCCUAUCAGGUAGUUUGCCUAAUGAUAUUUGUCAACAUCUUCCCAAGCUUGAAGUGCUUUACUUGCAUAGCAAUGAGUUAUCUGGUAACAUUCCGUCAAGUAUGGGCAAAUGCAGCAACCUUAAAAGUUUGUCCUUUUCCUUGAAUCAACUGACGGGGAUCCUUCCAAGAAGUAUUGGGAAUCUGACACAACUCAGAGAAUUAUAUUUGGGAUUGAAUAAUCUAGAAGGUAAUCAAUUUCCUUGAUUUCUUGAAUUUUAAGUAUUUUUUUAAUAAAAGAGUUUGAUUUGUAAUAGAUAACAAAAGGAAAAAGUUUUUAUUUCAUUUGAUGAAAAACAUAUGCCGAAAUAUAUGAAAAUCUAACAUCUCCAAAUUACUGUAGAACAGAAAAGAAAACCUCUUUGACUUAUGCUAACAAAAUAGGUAGUUUGACACCUUGAUUUUUUGACCAUGUGUGCAGGUCAAAUUCCUGAGGAAAUCGAUAAUCUUCUUGGUUUAGAACUGCUUAGUAUUACUGAAAUUAAAGGCCUUACAGGUCAGAUUCCAACUUUGAUCUUCAACAUUUCUUCUCUGAAGACCAUUGAUCUCUCCAACAAUAGCCUAUCAGGUAGUUUGCCUAAUGAUAUGUGUCAACAUCUUCCCAAGCUUGAAGUGCUUUACUUGUAUAGCAAUGAGUUAUCUGGUAACAUUCCGUCAAGUAUGGGUAAAUGCAGCAACCUUAAAAAUUUGUCCUUGUCCUUGAAUCAAUUGACGGGGAUUAUUCCAAGAAGUAUUGGAAAUCUGACACAACUCAGAGAAUUAUAUUUGGGGUUUAAUA